rnacentral:tRNA from 5 species
GGAGUGGUGCUCGAGUGGUUGAAGAGGCACGCCUGGAAAGCGUGUAUACGCCAAAAGCGUAUCGGGGGUUCGAAUCCCCCUCACUCCG